AACAGAUGGAUUUAGUAAAUUACAGCCUGCAGAUGAAUUGUAUGAGGAGUCAGUUUGGGAUGGAGGCUUAAAAUACACAGAAAUUUUCUGUGCUGUAGCUUUUUUCUUGCUGUCAAACAGUGCCUGGUAAAUGCAUAACUCGUGUGAUGUUAGCUUUCUGCACUGAUUGAUUUGUAAAAACUAUUCCAUCCCAAAUUGCCAGCUCUUUGGGUCUCAGCCUACAACCCUACUCAGCCAGAAGACUCUGUCCUCUAGGCGUUCGGCAGCAGGCUCACGCUCGAGCGGUGGAAGUCCUCUAUUUCUACAGGACAAACAAGUAUGUGCUCUGGGUCAUUGCAUGCUGGGCCCAGCCGACCUACCUGCCUGGGUGUUGCUCUCCCAGGUGAGUCCUGUGGGGUCUGAUGUGAAUGUUAUCUCUGCUACCUUCCCCUUUCGUCUGCCCAGAACUGCAGCAGGGGCA
rnacentral:lncRNA from 1 species